rnacentral:rRNA from 1 species
AUUGAACGCUGGCGGCAUGCUUUACACAUGCAAGUCGAACGGUAACAGGCCGCAAGGUGCUGACGAGUGGCGAACGGGUGAGUAAUGCAUCGGAACGUGCCCAGUCGUGGGGGAUAACGCAGCGAAAGCUGUGCUAAUACCGCAUACGAUCUAUGGAUGAAAGCGGGGGACCGUAAGGCCUCGCGCGAUUGGAGCGGCCGAUGUCAGAUUAGCUAGUUGGUGGGGUAAAGGCCCACCAAGGCGACGAUCUGUAGCUGGUCUGAGAGGACGACCAGCCACACUGGGACUGAGACACGGCCCAGACUCCUACGGGAGGCAGCAGAGGGGAAUUUUGGACAAUGGGCGCAAGCCUGAUCCAGCAAUGCCGCGUGCAGGAAGAAGGCCUUCGGGUUGUAAACUGCUUUUGUACGGAACGAAACGGUCUGGGUUAAUACCUCGGGCUAAUGACGGUACCGUAAGAAUAAGCACCGGCUAACUACGUGCCAGCCGCCGCCGUAA